rnacentral:rRNA from 1 species
GACAGAGGGUGCAAACGUUGUUCGGAAUUACUGGGCGUAAAGCGCGUGUAGGCGGCCCUGCAAGUCGGAUGUGAAAUCCCACGGCUCAACCGUGGAAGUGCAUUCGAAACUGCAGGGCUAGAGUCCUGGAGAGGAAGGUGGAAUGCUUGGUGUAGAGGUGAAAUUCGUAGAUAUCAAGCGGAACACCGGUGGCGAAGGCGGCCUUCUGGACAGUGACUGACGCUGAGACGGCGAAAGCGUGGGGAGCAAACAGGGAU